UGGGGAAUCUUGCACAAUGGGGGCAACCCUGAUGCAGCGACGCCGCGUGAGCGAUGAAGCCCUUCGGGGCGUAAAGCUCUUUCGACCGGAACGAUAAUGACGGUACCUGGAGAAGAAGCUGCGGCUAACUACGUGCCAGCAGCCGCGGUAAUACGUAGGCAGCGAGCGUUGUUCGGAGUUACUGGGCGUAAAGAGUGCGUAGGCGGCGAGCCAAGUUUGGUGUGAAAUCUCCCGGCUUAACCGGGAGGGUGCGCCGAAAACUGGUUCGCUGGAGUAUGGGAGAGGAAAGCGGAAUUCCUGGUGUAGCGGUGAAAUGCGUAGAUAUCAGGAGGAACACCUGCGGUGUAGACAGCUUUCUGGACCAAAACUGACGCUGAGGCACGAAAGCGUGGGUAGCAAACA
rnacentral:rRNA from 1 species